GGUUAAGCGACUAAGCGUACACGGUGGAUGCCCUGGCAGUCAGAGGCGAUGAAGGACGUGCUAAUCUGCGAAAAGCGUCGGUAAGGUGAUAUGAACCGUUACAGCCGGCGAUGUCCGAAUGGGGAAACCCAGUGUGAUUCGUCACACUAUCGUUAACUGAAUACAUAGGUUAACGAGGCGAACCGGGGGAACUGAAACAUCUAAGUACCCCGAGGAAAAGAAAUCAACCGAGAUUCCCCCAGUAGCGGCGAGCGAACGGGGAGCAGCCCAGAGUCUGAAUCAGCUUGUGUGUUAGUGGAACGGUCUGGAAAGUCCGACGGUACAGGGUGAUAGUCCCGUACACCAAAAUGCACAGGUUGUGAACUCGAAGAGUAGGGCGGGACACGUGGUAUCCUGUCUGAAUAUGGGGGGACCAUCCUCCAAGGCUAAAUACUCCUGACUGACCGAUAGUGAACCAGUACCGUGAGGGAAAGGCGAAAAGAACCCCGGCGAGGGGAGUGAAAAAGAACCUGAAACCGUGUACGUACAAGCAGUGGGAGCACCUUUAUGGUGUGACUGCGUACCUUUUGUAUAAUGGGUCAGCGACUUAUAUUCUGUAGCAAGGUUAACCGUAUAGGGGAGCCGCAGGGAAACCGAGUCUUAACUGGGCGUUAAGUUGCAGGGUAUAGACCCGAAACCCGGUGAUCUAGCCAUGGGCAGGUUGAAGGUUGGGUAACACUAACUGGAGGACCGAACCGACUAAUGUUGAAAAAUUAGCGGAUGACUUGUGGCUGGGGGUGAAAGGCCAAUCAAACCGGGAGAUAGCUGGUUCUCCCCGAAAGCUAUUUAGGUAGCGCCUCGUGAACUCAUCUUCGGGGGUAGAGCACUGUUUCGGCUAGGGGGUCAUCCCGACUUACCAACCCGAUGCAAACUACGAAUACCGAAGAAUGUUAUCACGGGAGACACACGGCGGGUGCUAACGUCCGUCGUGAAGAGGGAAACAACCCAGACCGCCAGCUAAGGUCCCAAAGUCAUGGUUAAGUGGGAAACGAUGUGGGAAGGCACAGACAGCCAGGAUGUUGGCUUAGAAGCAGCCAUCAUUUAAAGAAAGCGUAAUAGCUCACUGGUCGAGUCGGCCUGCGCGGAAGAUGUAACGGGGCUAAACCAUGCACCGAAGCUGCGGCAGCGACACUAUGUGUUGUUGGGUAGGGGAGCGUUCUGUAAGCCUGCGAAGGUGACCUGUGAGGGCUGCUGGAGGUAUCAGAAGUGCGAAUGCUGACAUAAGUAACGAUAAAGCGGGUGAAAAGCCCGCUCGCCGGAAGACCAAGGGUUCCUGUCCAACGUUAAUCGGGGCAGGGUGAGUCGACCCCUAAGGCGAGGCCGAAAGGCGUAGUCGAUGGGAAACAGGUUAAUAUUCCUGUACUUGGUGUUACUGCGAAGGGGGGACGGAGAAGGCUAUGUUAGCCGGGCGACGGUUGUCCCGGUUUAAGCAUGUAGGCUGGUUAUCCAGGCAAAUCCGGAUAAUCAAGGCUGAGGUGUGAUGACGAGGCACUACGGUGCUGAAGUAACAAAUGCCCUGCUUCCAGGAAAAGCCUCUAAGCAUCAGGUAACAUCAAAUCGUACCCCAAACCGACACAGGUGGUCAGGUAGAGAAUACCAAGGCGCUUGAGAGAACUCGGGUGAAGGAACUAGGCAAAAUGGUGCCGUAACUUCGGGAGAAGGCACGCUGGUGUGUAGGUGAAGUCCCUGCGGAUGGAGCUGAGACCAGUCGAAGAUACCAGCUGGCUGCAACUGUUUAUUAAAAACACAGCACUGUGCAAACACGAAAGUGGACGUAUACGGUGUGACGCCUGCCCGGUGCCGGAAGGUUAAUUGAUGGGGUUAUCCGUAAGGAGAAGCUCUUGAUCGAAGCCCCGGUAAACGGCGGCCGUAACUAUAACGGUCCUAAGGUAGCGAAAUUCCUUGUCGGGUAAGUUCCGACCUGCACGAAUGGCGUAAUGAUGGCCAGGCUGUCUCCACCCGAGACUCAGUGAAAUUGAACUCGCUGUGAAGAUGCAGUGUACCCGCGGCAAGACGGAAAGACCCCGUGAACCUUUACUAUAGCUUGACACUGAACAUUGAGCCUUGAUGUGUAGGAUAGGUGGGAGGCUUUGAAGCGUGGACGCCAGUCUGCGUGGAGCCAACCUUGAAAUACCACCCUUUAAUGUUUGAUGUUCUAACGUUGGCCCCUUAUCGGGGUUGCGGACAGUGUCUGGUGGGUAGUUUGACUGGGGCGGUCUCCUCCCAAAGCGUAACGGAGGAGCACGAAGGUUAGCUAAUCCUGGUCGGACAUCAGGAGGUUAGUGCAAUGGCAUAAGCUAGCUUGACUGCGAGCGUGACGGCGCGAGCAGGUGCGAAAGCAGGUCAUAGUGAUCCGGUGGUUCUGAAUGGAAGGGCCAUCGCUCAACGGAUAAAAGGUACUCCGGGGAUAACAGGCUGAUACCGCCCAAGAGUUCAUAUCGACGGCGGUGUUUGGCACCUCGAUGUCGGCUCAUCACAUCCUGGGGCUGAAGUAGGUCCCAAGGGUAUGGCUGUUCGCCAUUUAAAGUGGUACGCGAGCUGGGUUUAGAACGUCGUGAGACAGUUCGGUCCCUAUCUGCCGUGGGCGCUGGAGAAUUGAGGGGGGCUGCUCCUAGUACGAGAGGACCGGAGUGGACGCAUCACUGGUGUUCGGGUUGUCAUGCCAAUGGCACUGCCCGGUAGCUAAAUGCGGAAGAGAUAAGUGCUGAAAGCAUCUAAGCACGAAACUUGCCCCGAGAUGAGUUCUCCCUGAGACUUUAAGUCUCCUGAAGGAACGUUGAAGACGACGACGUUGAUAGGCCGGGUGUGUAAGCGCAGCGAUGCGUUGAGCUAACCGGUACUAAUGAACCGUGAGGCUUAACCUU
rnacentral:rRNA from 1 species